CGCCUCUCCUGUCUUGUCUCGGUGGAGAUGGGAGGUCGAACGAAACGGACGAAACGACUACGGACUCCAGUAGAUCUAGGACGAUUCUGCCACGUAGCGGUUCGUGAAAUUUUCCUUUACAAUUUCUCGCCCGACGAUCGAGCAGCACACAGUCAUCCCUAGGCCCUACACCCCGCCGCUGCUGCCGCCGCCCGCCCCAUCUCCGGUCACCGGUCAGUCGCCCCUUCGCCGGCCAACACGCCGCGCCGUGAAUCCUCCUCUUCCCCGAACGCGCUGGCGCGCCUCCCCGGAGCCUCCCACGACCGCACGCACGGCAAGAUUAUUAUCAAGGUCUCAACAACGCAAUCCUGCCACCCUGCUACUGCUAGUGCUAGCGAAGGGGGCAGCAACGCUCACCGAGCCGGGGAUGUCAGCAUAAACAAGGCAGAUAUCGUUGAGCCCGCCAACGAAAUCGACCCUCCCAUGGAUCACAGCAUAGUGGACAAUUGCGUCGACGCAAAUCCGACAAUGGAGAAAUCAAUUCCUCCUUGGAAGAGAAGUUUCCAACUGCCCACAAACGAGAGACAGGGGGCAGAGGCAGAGGAAAUUGAAAACCUCCAUGUUCAGAUCAGUCCUCUCAAAUGUAAGCUGAACAAGGUACCGUAUUAUCGUUCUAUAUGCGAUGAAAGGCAGCAGGUUGAGGUCUACCGCCGGCUCUCCCGGUACUACAUCCAAGCCCAUGAGUUACCCUCGCCCGGAGAGGAACCAGAUAAUGCACAACUGAGCAAGGAAUUGGAGCGUUGUCUGGAUGCUUAUGAAAUAAAUUUCCUCCAGCGCGCCAAAGACAAUCCUGAAUGGUACUUCCAUCCUGAACAAUGCAAGCUUGCCGGCUUGGAAGACUACCAGCGGCUAGUGCUUCGUGAUCAUGGUAUGUAUGGAGAUUUGAAGCAAUACCGCCUGUAUUAUCAUACCUACCAGGGAGAUGUAGAGUAUGUCCAGUUCCGUGAGCAGAUGGCGGAGCAAAUUAAGUGGAUUGACGACGAAGCAGCACUCUUCGGCGAUCAGCGGCUGAGAAACGAGCUAGAGGCUUUUCUUCAAACACUGAGGAUUGCGAUGCGGUUUCCGAAUAUUUCCGGACGCUCAGUUGUCUCUGCCUUACGUGAGCAUCUAUAUAGCCUUCGGUUUGACUUUAACCACCGGAAGGACUUGGACGGUGUCUAUCUUGAGAUAUGGAAACGGGUUGCUAGGAAUAAGAUGAACUUCGGUGACGCUUUGAAGCAAUUGUAUGAAGAGAACAUUUUCCCCUUCCGCAGGCCUGACAUCAAAUUAGCACUCGAUAGCUAUCCAGGCCCCAGUUGGAUAAAUUCUUGUUAUGAUACCUACGUGGCUGGCAUUGAUGAGGGGUUCUCAGAAGACGAAGCUCAUCCCUUGAUCAUAGAGGCCGUUGAGAAAAUGGUUAGUUGAUCUUGCUAGUUUUGUACUGUAGUUAGGAGGUGUUUCUUUGUGAUCUUGAUCUGCCUCCAAUUGGCUAUAUUUUCAAGUGGAUGCCAAUAUUACUUUCAAGUUGAGAAACGGAAGAACUAUUUGGAUUACACCAGAAAGAAAUUGGAAAUCGCAGCACGUAUAGGUUUGAAAACCUAGAGGUCACUGCACAAGGCAGGAAAAACCAUGGUGAUGGGAAGGCUGCGAUAGUGAGCCGAGGGAAGCUAUGCCAUGAAUAAAGAAUGGCCCAUGGUGCUGGUGCUGGUGCUGAACCUGCUGAUUCCACCCUGUGCUCUGUCGCAUGAGCUCCUGGUUCCUUUGUGAUGUCAUCACCUCUAUCUAUGCGCUCCAUGUAUCCAGGCCAUACACUUUGGAGCAGAUGUAUUCGUCUUUCUGCCGGUGAGUGCCAGAGUCCAAUUCACCUUGGCUUCUCUGGAGCAGAUUGACUACUUCACUACUUGACCUCCCACAUGGGCUCUAAGGUACUGAUCUUGUCAACAUUGCGGUUUGUGAUGAUCUUGUCUUAUGUUCACUAGUACAACAUAGCAAUAUAGCAGUGUCCCAUGUCUGCUAUUUGUGGAUGUAAUGUAAGUGGAGUCAUAGCCUACUCCACAGCCCAUCGAUGGAGGUCAGAUUUGGUGCGUCCUAAUCCUAGUAAUAUAUACACAUUUUUGCGCGCGUUCUAGUGGAAUCAUCAGAUAUAAUGUAUGUAUAAAUUCCUGCGUUCUAAAAUGGGGCCAAGAUUGAGAUAUAGUCAGCUAUCUUUCUGGCAGUGGCCUGAAUUUGGCCUCUUGCUACUGCUGUACUGCGUGAUGAAUCCAUGUGAUGAAAGAGUGUCGUGUUCUCAAUAGAGGAAAGGGAGAUUAUUGUUUU